UUCCUGAUGCACCUUCUUUCACCAUGUGAACUGUAUUAUCCACAGCAAAAUAUUAAAAAUUAAUUUGACCUAAGCCUAAUUAUUUCUAAUGUGCUUUCUAAUUUUCUUCAUUGCAAAAACAUUAAUUUCCUGAAGCAAUCUAACAUCACAGUUAAACUUGGAACGCCUCAAACUCUACAACCAUUCAUCUGGGCAAAACAGUUUGCACUGAAUAGACUUGGCAGAAACUCAGUCUACAACACGGCACCACUCACUUGAUUCAAUAGCAUCCAGUUUCUGGAACGUCCACACAACAUCACCAUCGAGUACCUUGGAGUACUAGACCUUUUGUGAGAAGCAAAAGCUAUUUGUACUCCAAUCCCACAUAGAAGUAACUCAAUCCCAAAUCAAAACAAGAGAGGAGGUGGAUGCCCCAUCCCUAGAGAUGCUCAAGACAGAUGAGUGUACUAGAGAAUACAAGAAACCAUUGCCUCAAGGUAUAGCCAUCUCAGGUCAAGUCUCAGUCCAAACUCAGGUCAUUAUGGAAUCACAGAUUCAUUAAGGUUAGAAAAAACUACUUAAGAUCACCUAGUCCAACAUCAACCCAUCACAACCAUGGCCACUGACCAUGAUCCUCAGUGCUACAACUACCCUUUCCUUGAACACCUCCAGGGACAGUGACUCCACCACCUACCUGGGCAGCCUGUGCCACUGCAUCACUAUUGCUUCUGAGAAGAAAUUCUUCCUAAUGUAGAGCUUGAACCUGCCUUGCACAACUUGAAGCCAUUUCUUCUCAUCUUAUCACUGUCCUGAUGGCCUCCCUGCUCCUGCUGGCUGCACUAUUUCUGAUACAAUUUAGGAUGCUAUUGGCCUUCUUGGCCACCUGGGCACAUUGCUAGCUCAUAUUUAGCAGGCUGCCAACUAACAUCCUCAGAUCCUUUUCCUGCGAACAACCUUCCAGCCGUUCUGCCCCAAGUUGCUGUAUUGCCCAGGGUUAUUAUUACAGAAGUGCAGAGCCCAGCAUCUGGUCAUCCCACUGCCUCAGCCCAGCUAUCCAACCUUUCCACAUCCCUCUGCAGGGACUUCCUACCCCUAGGCAGAUUGACACUCCCUCCCAGCUUGAUGUCAUCUGCAAACUUACAGAGGGUGCACUCAAUUCCCUCAUCCAAAUCAUCAAUGUAGACAUAAAACAGGGCUGGCCCCAGUACCGACCUCUGAGGAAUUCUGCUAGCAACCAGUCAAUGACUGCAUUUAACUCCACUCACCAUCAAUACAGACACAGAAAAUGGUUUUUAACUUGCAGUUGCAAUUAAGGAGCCUUUAUGGGAAAGUUAGCACAAUCAAGACACACAACGCUACGCAACUCACAGAAAAACAACUCAUUUUAGUCUCAAGAACACAUAUGCAUAUGUAAUAGGACUCCAUAGAGGACACCAGGUGAACACUUACAGUCAGACAAACAGGAAAGCCAGAAAUAGAGUUCAGUAAGUUCAGAACUACAAAGCAUAGCAUAAAAACCACAUUAUCUGCUCUCAGCGACCAAACCCAGGCAAAACCCGAGGCUCAAAACGCGGGGUGUUCCUCCCUGUAAACCACAGACCCUCACACAGAAAAACCAGGAUUUAUUUUUUUCACCCAACGCUCCCCCGCACUACAACGUCCAGCUGCAACAAGUCGCUCCGCGCAGAGGGAAGCACGGCCCUUCCCCGCAGCCCUCAGGCAGAGCCCGCCCUCCA